UCUCUGCACAUUUUCCUCGUUUCUCCUUUCGUCUCUUGCUCUCAGGUUUACCAUCCCAGCUGCCUUGGUUAGUUCACGAUAGUCACUUGAUUUAUUUAUUUUUGUUUGGACCCACUCUGCACCGCUCCCUGGUCCCAGCUUGCUUGAUGAUCAUAAAUACUGAUGAGCUCACCUAUCUUUCCUACUGACAACAAUAAAGAGGAAAUUGCACAACUGGAUGCAUCCAUGAGCUCGCUGAGUGUCAAAGCACAUCAAGCUACUUCAAUCCGGACUUCAAGAAUAAAAUUGUUCAGAUUGUAGCGUCUUGUAAAUUCCUGGCAUUGGAUAAAGGAACGUGUUCUGUCUUUGGAAGAAGGAAUAAACAUUUUCUGCAAGGCA
rnacentral:lncRNA from 1 species